AGCGAACGCUGGCGGCAGGCUUAACACAUGCAAGUCGAGCGGGCCCUUCGGGGUCAGCGGCAGACGGGUGAGUAACGCGUGGGAACGUGCCCUUCGGUUCGGAAUAACUCAGGGAAACUUGAGCUAAUACCGGAUACGCCCUUAUGGGGAAAGGCUUGCUGCCGAAGGAUCGGCCCGCGUCUGAUUAGCUAGUUGGUGAGGUUAUGGCUCACCAAGGCGACGAUCAGUAGCUGGUCUGAGAGGAUGAUCAGCCACACUGGGACUGAGACACGGCCCAGACUCCUACGGGAGGCAGCAGUGGGGAAUAUUGGAAAAUGGGGGCAACCCUGAUCCAGCCAUGCUGCGUGAGUGAUGACGGCCUUAGGGUUGUAAAGCUCUUUUCUCCGGGACGAUAAUGACGGUACCGGAGGAAUAAGCCCCGGCUAACUUCGUG
rnacentral:rRNA from 1 species